GUCUCCCUCCCUCACUCCCUUAUUCCCUCUCUUCGGUCUGCUGCUUCCAUAAACUGAGCCUGCGCUGAAAUCCAGACCUGAACCACAUCCUCAGGUGGACUCAGCUUUUCAGUCUUUGUUCCAGCUGGAUACCCCCUCUACAACCACCACCACCCCUCCUUUCUCCCCCUCUUCACUCCCUGGCUUUCAGGGUUGCUUUUCUCUUUUUUGCUUCACGUCAUGUGGUCGAGGUUUAGGGAUUCUCAUUGGAGAGGAGGACAGGGAAGCAGUCGAGCUGCACAGUGCUGAAGCCGGUGCUCUGUCGCGUGCUCUUUCACGCUCCUGGAUGAGAGACCCCACGAGUUUCUCCCAUCUCAUCCAACUUUCUCGAGAUUCGACAGUGAGCCGAGGCAUGAAAAACAAAAGCAAAAGACCUAAAGGACGCUUAUUCUCCUGCAGUAGUUCUAUACUAUUUUGGUUGAGCAAACAGACGUCCUACAGCACAUCGAGGCUGGACCAUGCAGACACGUCUAGACCGGUGGACCGAUGGUGACCGGCGGCUUUGGCCUUUGUGGAGGAGACAGACGAGUCGGGUCAGGAGGAAGAAAGUGAGGCAUGCCCUUUUUUCAGGGAGGGAACGACCCACGGGUGCGGAGAGGUUGACGAGACGAUAAAGAGAUAAAGAAACUGGUUGGAACUGGACCUGUUGGAGAUAAGAUCAGAUCAGAUCAGGUGACAUUUUUCCAAUCUUCAACUGUUCAAUUCCUCUGAAACCUCAGAAUAAUGAUCCUGGCAGACAGGAGUGGAAUCUGAUCUGGACUUCUGCUGUUGUAACUUAUCCACCUAUAGAUUAAGCAAUAUAGAGUGUGUUCUGAGAUGCUUUUCUGCUCAUCACAGUUGUAAUCUGCAGAUAUUUGAUAUUUCCUGUCAGCUUAAACCAGUCUGAUUUCACAACUUCAGAACUUACAGUACACACACUACACAAACUACACACACUCUGGAUUGUUUGUUUUAUACAUCAUUCGGUGUGAAACUCUAUAGACUGUUGCAUCUAAAUUAUCAACAGGAUACUCAAUUGGUUUAAUCAUCUGGCACCGAGAAACAGUGGCCAUCCGUUACACAGGCUUCAGUCAUAUUGUUUGGACCGGACCAUAAGGCAGGAUCCAGGCUUCGUCUCCAAACACACUCCAGAGGAAAUGAGCUUCUCUGCAUGAGAGAACUGACUGAAUGAGUUUGAUGUCUAACACCGAGAGUCUCAAGAGGAGCUUCCAGAGUCCUCAACAUUCAGAUCAAUUAGGAUUUCAUAAAGACUUUUACUACAUGACUACACAUUUUGAACAUAAACUUUUUGGACAUUAUGAACAAAUAUCCUGUUUCUUAUUGAUUUCUUUUUUCCCCCUUUAUUUAGUUAUUUAUAUUCAAUAAGGUGUUUCAUUCUGCUGCAUGUAUACUGUAUAUAACUGUAUAUAUAACUGUAUAUAGAUGUGGAAUACAGUCCUGGUUUCAGAAUCUGCCCAAUAAUAUUCAAGAUUUAAAUCGUCAUGUGGACUGGAAUUGAAUUGAAAUAAUGGGAGAGAAAGACAAAGGAGCAAGUCUCAGUUAUGCCACUAGAGGGCAGAAUAAAGCAACACACCUUGUUUUAUGAGAAUGACGCGCUUUAAGGUGUUUUGACCACAAGGUGGAGCUGUAACCUGCAUUUCCAUACUGUAAUUUACAAUUUUUGCGCAAAAAUAGCAUAAAUCGAUGCAGGUUUUUUUGUGUUGUGUUAAACUCGUAUUUGACAUUGUAAAUAACAUAAAAUCAUCAUUAACUC